rnacentral:rRNA from 1 species
CAGUAGCCACGGUAAAACGGGGGGGGCUAGCGUUGUUCGGAAUUACUGGGCGUAAGGCGCACGUAGGCGGCUUUGUAAGUUAGAGGUGAAAGCCCGGAGCUCAACUCCGGAAUUGCCUUUAAGACUGCAGAGCUAGCAGGUGAGAGAGGUGAGUGGAAUUCCGAGUGUAGAGGUGAAAUUCGUUGAUAUUCGGAAGAACACCAGUGGCGAAGGCGGCUCACUGGCUCAUACUGGACGCUGAGGUGCGAAAGCGUGGGGAGCAAACAGGAUUAGAUACCCCGGUAGUCCCUGUCUCUUAUAC